AAACAACGCCGACAUAUUAAUUCACAUUACAUUGGCAGCUCCUGUCUUUUCCUCCAUGACACUGCUGUUUUCGCGUCGAGCGAAGAUGGAAUUCUUCAUACCCAUUGCUGGGCACCUGGUUUUGAUGGCUCAUUCUGAUGCUUUAUGAGAGGCCGGGAAUCAGCAGAGGUAACAAUUAUG
rnacentral:snoRNA from 1 species